CGAAAUGCGAUAAGUAAUGUGAAUUGCAGAAUUCAGUGAAUCAUCGAAUCUUUGAACGCACCUUGCGCUCCUUGGUAUUCCGUGGGGCAUGCCUGUUUGAGUAUCAUGAAAUCUUCAAAGUAAAUCUUUUGUUAACUCAAUUGGUUUCUACUUUGGUAUUGGAGGUCUUUGCAGCUUCACACCUGCUCCUCUUUGUUCAUUAGCUGGAUCUCAGUGUUAUGCUUGGUUCCACUCGGCGUGAUAAGUUAUCUAUCGCUGAGGACACUGUAAAAGGUGGCCAAGGUAAAUGCAGAUGAACCGCUUCUAAUAGUCCAUUGACUUGGACAAUACUUUUAUGAUCUGAUCUCAAAUCAGGUAGGACUACCCGCUGAACUUAAGC
rnacentral:misc_RNA from 1 species